rnacentral:rRNA from 1 species
CCUACGGGUGGCAGCAGUGGGGAAUAUUGGACAAUGGGCGAAAGCCUGAUCCAGCCAUGCCGCGUGUGUGAAGAAGGCCUUCGGGUUGUAAAGCACUUUCAGACGGGAAGAAAACCUUCUGUCUAAUACCCUCGAGGAAGGACAUCACCCACAGAAGAAGCACCGGCUAACUCCGUGCCAGCAGCCGCGGUAAUACGGAGGGUGCGAGCGUUAAUCGGAAUUACUGGGCGUAAAGCGCGCGCAGGCGGUCUGAUAAGCCGGUUGUGAAAGCCCCGGGCUCAACCUGGGAACGGCAUUCGGGACUGUAUGGCUAGAGUGCAGGAGAGGAAGAUAGAAUUCCCGGUGUAGCGGUGAAAUGCGUAGAGAUCGGGAGGAAUACCAGUGGCGAAGGCGGCCCUCUGGACUGAUACUGACGCUGAGGUGCGAAAGCGUGGGUAGCAAACAGGAUUAGAUACCCGUGUAGUC